UCUCGCAUGGGGACGGGGUAAAAUAUUUUAUAGGUUACAGAUGGGCAUGCGUGACAUUAGUUAGUUGGUGAGGUAACGGCUCACCAAGACUGCGAUGUCUAGGGGUUCUGAGAGGAAGGUCCCCCACACUGGAACUGAGACACGGUCCAGACUCCUACGGGAGGCAGCAGUGAGGAAUAUUGGUCAAUGGACGCAAGUCUGAACCAGCCAUGUCGCGUGCAGGAUGACUGCCCUAUGGGUUGUAAACUGCUUUUAUAUUGGAAGAAUUGCGCUUACGAGUUAAGCGUUUGACGGUACAUUAUGAAUAAGGAUCGGCUAACUCCGUGCCAGCAGCCGCGGUAAUACGGAGGAUCCGAGCGUUAUCCGGAUUUAUUGGGUUUAAAGGGUGCGUAGGCGGAAAUGUAAGUCAGUGGUGAAAUCCUGCAGCUUAACUGUAGAAUAGCCGUUGAAACUGUGUUUCUUGAGUACAUUUGAGGUAGGCGGAAUGUGGUGUGUAGCGGUGAAAUGCAUAGAUAUACCACAGAACACCGAUUGCGAAGGCAGCUUACUAAACUGUCACUGACGCUGAUGCACGAAAGCGUGGGUAUCAAACAGGAUUAGAUACCCUGGUAGUCCACGCUGUAAACGAUGAUUACUGGUUGUUUGCGAUACACUGCAAGUGACUGAGCGAAAGCAUUAAGUAAUCCACCUGGGGAGUACGUCGGCAACGAUGAAACUCAAAGGAAUUGACGGGGGCCCGCACAAGCGGAGGAACAUGUGGUUUAAUUCGAUGAUACGCGAGGAACCUUACCUGGGUUUAAAUGGGGAGUGACAGGCUUGGAAACAGGCUCUUCUUCGGACACUCUUCAAGGUGCCGCAUGGUUGUCGUCAGCUCGUGCCGUGAGGUGUCGGGUUAAGUCCCAUAACGAGCGCAACCCCUAUCGAUAGUUACCAGCACGUUACGGUGGGGACUCUAUCGAGACUGCCGGUGUAAACCGUGAGGAGGGUGGGGAUGACGUCAAAUCAGCACGGCCCUUACAUCCAGGGCUACACACGUGUUACAAUGGCCGGUACAAAGGGCAGCUACACAGCGAUGUGAUGCUAAUCUCCAAAUCCGGUCUCAGUUCGGAUCGAAGUCUGCAACCCGACUUCGUGAAGCUGGAUUCGCUAGUAAUCGCGCAUCAGCCAUGGCGCGGUGAAUACGUUCCCGGGCCUUGUACUCACCGCCCGUCAA
rnacentral:rRNA from 1 species